CAGUCGCCGCGGGAAUACGUAGGUGGCAAGCGUUGUCCGGAAUUAUUGGGCGUAAAGGGCUCGCAGGCGGUUUCUUAAGUCUGAUGUGAAAGCCCCCGGCUCAACCGGGGAGGGUCAUUGGAAACUGGGAAACUUGAGUGCAGAAGAGGAGAGUGGAAUUCCACGUGUAGCGGUGAAAUGCGUAGAGAUGUGGAGGAACACCAGUGGCGAAGGUGACUCUCUGGUCUGUAACUGACGCUGAGGAGCGAAAGCGUGGGGAGCGAACAGGAUUAGAUACCCCCGUAGUCCCUGUCUCUUAUAA
rnacentral:rRNA from 1 species